GACGAAGGUGGCUAGCGUUGCUCGGAUUUACUGGGCAUAAAGCGCGCGUAGGUGGUCGUGUAAGCGGGGGAUGAAAGCCCAUGGCUCACCCAUGGAACUGUCCCCCGGACUGCACGGCUCGAGGAAGGAAGGGGAGAAUGGAAUUCCCGGUGUAGCGGUGAAAUGCGUAGAUAUCGGGAGGAACGCCGGUGGCGAAAGCGAUUCUCUGGUCCUUUCCUGACACUGAGGCGCGAAAGCUAGGGGAGCAAACAGG
rnacentral:rRNA from 2 species